UUCAGGACGCGCGAUCGAACCAGAAUCGUCGAGAAAUCGUCCGGUUGGUUUUGAAAUGCUCGGAUUAUGAUGGUGUGCGUGCACUGCAGUACCUCCUUAUAUUAUUAUAAUAUACAGAACGAUUUACCUGCAAGUUCUGAGAUUCUCUACGCUGCUGAGUGCUGCAGACUUCCAGAACCGGUUUCGUACGGAUUCAAAUUAAACCUAUUUUAAAACCUCGAGUAACUCUGAAUGAUACAUUGAAUCUCAUUGUGCAGCUGCGAGGAUUCUGUGACCGCAUUAUUUCAGAGAAAAGAAAACUUCGUUUAUAUUUAUUUUAUAUAUUACUAGUGUUUAAUAUUAUAAGAGAAUAUAACUACGAAUCGAGAUAAAAUGACAUCUACUCCCGAGCUGGAAGAAAAACCCCUGACUGGAUUCUCUAAGUAUUUCAACACAACUACUAUAAACGGCCGGGUGAAUAUUUCCUGUGCUACAUUUGCAACAUUGGGAAUGUUUUUACUGUACAUGAAGUUCAAACCAAAGAUGGAAAAAAUACCACAUACAAGCAAUGAAAAAUAAAUACACAAAAAGUUAUUUAUUUUUUUGUAAAUUUUUUCUUUUC